GUGAAAGUGGUAAGUUGCCUGGAU
rnacentral:siRNA from 1 species